UCUGAACCAAAUUCAUGACCCUCUUAGUUCUUCUUUUAUCUUCUAUUCCCUUUCUUUUCAUUUUUACCUUUAAUUAAUACCUUUUAACUACAUAACAUUUAGCACUACUAUUUCCAAGCUGGAAAAUCAUCUGGAGUUGUGCACAAGACAAUUUGAUAAAAGAGUGUGCUGUAAUGAGAAGACCACGCGUAGUAUGUGUAAAGUAGCAAGUUUCCAUGAGUUCUCCUCGUGCUUAUGCAUAAGGCCUUCUGAUGAAUGUAUGGCUGAUACCUUUUUCUCUUUUCACUUUCAUCCUGACCUACAGAUCAAGAUAAUCUAUAUAUUUUGUAUUACAAUCAGUGGCAUACGUAAAAUUUUGCAUAAGAGCAUUGUCGAUAUGGUCUAUUAUCGGCUUGCGUUAUAAUUGAAAUUGAAUUAGAGAUUGUGAUAAUUUGAGUCUUUAGUUCAUGUUACAAAUUGAUAUUUACUUUGUAAUAUUCUCAAGCCACGUCAACCUAUUGUUUACAUACAUCCAUAUAUAUUUAUUUUGUGAGAAAAUGUUGUUUAUGUACAUAUAAAAGAAAAAUCUUAGCAAAGUGAUGUCGCAUGAUACCCCUAAUCUCCUCCACUUGUUGAGAUCGAAUUCCAAAAAAUUACGAAUCUCUUACGAUUCGAAAACCAAGUCAGAGACUACUACACGCAUACAGAAAAUACCUCAACAAGUGGUGGACAUGGAAGAGAUUUUUUUUGCAAAUGCCAUUCGUUUUCCAAGAUAUAAAUAGGAGAAUUUGACCAUAUCUUGCAACAAGUUGAGUUGGCUUGGACGUGUAUAGGCUCAUAUCUCAAAGCUAGGAGGAUGUGAAGGCGAUGACGAUGACGAUGCCGAUGAUGAUGAUGCGUCAAAGGUGGCACCAGCUGCAUGAUGUUGUAAUGCUAGUUCCUACAGCAACAUAUAUAUAUAGUAAUACAUAUAGCUAGGUUCCCAUGUUUCUUUGCUGCAGAUGUUGCUUUAUAGCGAAUUAACAAUGUUGACAUCUAAAAGAGAGACAUGUAGUGAAGUGAGUUACGUCUGUAGAGAAGGAAUUAAGAGAGCAAUGCAUGAGAGAUAUCUUCAUGUUUUCUACUUACAGUAAUAUAUCUGUGUAUCACACUAUUAUCCAUGCCAUUAAUAAAUGAUGAUGGAGUAUUAAUUGAGUGGUAAACCUCGUA